rnacentral:ncRNA from 1 species
GAGAGCACAGUACGAUGAAAGUUGUAAGCUAUGUCCGGAGGGAAGUUAUUGUCUAUCGUCGGUCUCUAUGAUAGAACCCAUCGGGGAGGCCUGAGAGGCGGUGGUUUACCCUGU